CAGUCGUACCGGCGGAUAAUCAGCCUUUCGGGUGCGAUUCUGUGGGGCGUGAGGAGCUUAACCGCCUUCAUGUUUUGCAUAUUCGUGCACAUUUGGUGUACUUGUCCGUGUGGUGGGUUAACAUCAAUUUCGGUCGUCAUAAAAUGAUUGGAGGAAUGUAGCUUUGAUCUCGUAUCGAAGUGUUAUAGACUCUGGUAGAUGUGACGAGUUGGGAUUGGAGGGUAUUGGACCAAACGGGACUAA
rnacentral:rRNA from 1 species